rnacentral:rRNA from 1 species
AGUCGAACGGUCUUUUAGGAGACAGUGGCGGACGGGUGAGUAACGCGUAAGAAUCUACCUUCAGGUUGGGGACAACCACUGGAAACGGUGGCUAAUACCGAAUGUGCCGAGAGGUGAAAGGCUUGCUGCCUGAAGAAGAGCUUGCGUCUGAUUAGCUAGUUGGUAGUGUAAGAGACUACCAAGGCGACGAUCAGUAGCUGGUCUGAGAGGAUGAUCAGCCACACUGGGACUGAGACACGGCCCAGACUCCUACGGGAGGCAGCAGUGGGGAAUUUUCCGCAAUGGGCGAAAGCCUGACGGAGCAAUACCGCGUGAGGGAGGAAGGCUCUUGGGUUGUAAACCUCUUUUCUCAGGGAAGAACAGAAUGACGGUACCUGAGGAAUAAGCAUCGGCUAACUCCGUGCCAGCAGCCGCGGUAAUACGGAGGAUGCAAGCGUUAUCCGGAAUGAUUGGGCGUAAAGGGUCCGCAGGUGGCAUUGUAAGUCUGCUGUUAAAGAGUUUGGCUCAACCAAAUAAGAGCAGUGGAAACUACAAAGCUAGAGUGUGGUCGGGGCAGAGGGAAUUCCUGGUGUAGCGGUGAAAUGCGUAGAUAUCAGGAAGAACACCAGUGGCGAAGGCGCUCUGCUAGGCCGAGACUGACACUGACGGACGAAAGCUAGGGGAGCGAAUGGGAUUAGAUACCCCAGUAGUCCUAGCCGUCAACGAUGGAUACUAGGCGUAGCUCGUAUCGACCCGAGCUGUGCCGGAGCUAACGCGUUAAGUAUCCCGCCUGGGGAGUACGCAGGCAACUGUGAAACUCAAAGGAAUUGACGGGGGCCCGCACAAGCGGUGGAGUAUGUGGUUUAAUUCGAUGCAACGCGAAGAACCUUACCAAGGCUUGACAUGUCACGAAUCCUAUUGAAAGAUGGGAGUGCCUUCGGGAGCGUGAACACAGGUGGUGCAUGGCUGUCGUCAGCUCGUGUCGUGAGAUGUUGGGUUAAGUCCCGCAACGAGCGCAACCCUCGUUUUUAGUUGCCAGCAUUAGGUUGGGCACUCUAGAGAGACUGCCGGUGACAAACCGGAGGAAGGUGGGGAUGACGUCAAGUCAGCAUGCCCCUUACGUCUUGGGCUACACACGUACUACAAUGCUACGGACAAAGGGCAGCUACACAGCGAUGUGAUGCGAAUCUCGUAAACCGUAGCUCAGUUCAGAUCGAAGGCUGCAACUCGCCUUCGUGAAGGAGGAAUCGCUAGUAAUUGCAGGUCAGCAUACUGCAGUGAAUUCGUUCCCGGGCCUUGUACACACCGCCCGUCACACCAUGGAAGUUGGUCACGCCCGAA